GAUGAACGCUAGCGGGAGGCCUAACACAUGCAAGCCGAGCGGUAGAGUUUCUUCGGAAACUUGAGAGCGGCGCACGGGUGCGUAACACGUGUGCAACCUACCUUUAUCUGGGGGAUAGCCUUUCGAAAGGAAGAUUAAUACCCCAUAAUAUAAUGAUUGGCAUCAAUUAUUAUUGAAAACUCCGGUGGAUAGAGAUGGGCACGCGCAAGAUUAGAUAGUUGGUGAGGUAACGGCUCACCAAGUCAAUGAUCUUUAGGGGUCCUGAGAGGGAGAUCCCCCACACUGGUACUGAGACACGGACCAGACUCCUACGGGAGGCAGCAGUGAGGAAUAUUGGACGAUGGGUGAGAGCCUGGUCCAGCCAUCCCGCGUGAAGGAUGACGGUCCUAUGGAUUGUAAACUUCUUUUGUACAGGGAUAAACCUACCCUCGUGAGGGUAGCUGAAGGUACUGUACGAAUAAGCACCGGCUAACUCCGUG
rnacentral:rRNA from 1 species